rnacentral:rRNA from 1 species
GAUGAACGCUGGCGGCGUGCCUAAUACAUGCAAGUCGAGCGAACAGAUGAGGAGCUUGCUCCUCUGACGUUAGCGGCGGACGGGUGAGUAACACGUGGAUAACCUACCUAUAAGACUGGGAUAACUUCGGGAAACCGGAGCUAAUACCGGAUAAUAUAUUGAACCGCAUGGUUCAAUAGUGAAAGACGGUUUUGCUGUCACUUAUAGAUGGAUCCGCGCCGCAUUAGCUAGUUGGUAAGGUAACGGCUUACCAAGGCAACGAUGCGUUGCCGACCUGAGAGGGGGGAAGGCCACACUGGAAGUUGGACAGGGGCCAGAGUCCCGAGGGAGGGCGCAGUAGGGAAAUGUCCGCAAUGGGGGGAAACCUGACCGAAGGAACGCCGGGGGGGGGGAAAAGGCUUUGGAGCGGAAAAACGUUUUUUUGGGGGAAAAAAAAAUUGGAAAGUAACAAGGCAGGCUUGAAGGUAACUAAUAAAGAAGCCCCGGGUAAAUACGUG